rnacentral:lncRNA from 1 species
AAGCAAGAUCCCAUUGUCAACAAAUGACUGUCUCGUUUUUGAGCUGAGAAUCGGAGCACAGGGAUGCAGAAUCUGAGCCUCCCAGGCUUCCCGUGCUCUCAACAUCCUGCAUCACCCAUGUCUUGCCCCAGAAAAGCACAACACUAUUGACAUUUCAUCUCAUCUCUCAUAUUAAUGAGCUUUAACUGAACCCAUUGCACUGGGAUCACUGAAGCUGUGAGGAAGCAGAUUCUCUGAUGCCUACUCUCAAGUCAGCUGUUGUCUGCUGUCUCCAGAAGAAAAUUAGUUCCUCUUGCUAUUCAGGUGGAUUUGCUGCUACCAAUUUCUUUGACGACACACUGUGAACAGUGAAUUAGUGCUUUACAGGAGAAGCAAGUGGAAAAG